rnacentral:rRNA from 1 species
UACGGGGGGGCAAGCGUUGUUCGGAAUUACUGGGCGUAAAGGGCUCGUAGGCGGCCAACUAAGUCGGAUGUGAAAUCCCCAGGCUUAACCUGGGAACUGCAUCCGAUACUGGAUGGCUUGAAUCCGGAAGAGGGAUGCAGAAUUCCAGGUGUAGCGGUGAAAUGCGUAGAUAUCUGGAGGAAUACCGGUGGCGAAGGCGGCAUCCUGGACCGGCAUUGACGCUGAGGAGCGAAAGCUAGGGGAGCAAACGGGG